rnacentral:rRNA from 1 species
UGAACAAAGAAUAGACGAACCAAAUGUGUAGGGCGUCUUGAUUCAAGAACGCUUCUUUCCUCCCGAGUGCUUGCACUCAAUUGGAAAGAGGAGUGGCGGACGGGUGAGUAACACGUGGGUAACCUACCCAUCAGAGGGGGAUAACACUUGGAAACAGGUGCUAAUACCGCAUAACAGUUUAUGCCGCAUGGCAUAAGAGUGAAAGGCGCUUUCGGGUGUCGCUGAUGGAUGGACCCGCGGUGCAUUAGCUAGUUGGUGAGGUAACGGCUCACCAAGGCCACGAUGCAUAGCCGACCUGAGAGGGUGAUCGGCCACACUGGGACUGAGACACGGCCCAGACUCCUACGGGAGGCAGCAGUAGGGAAUCUUCGGCAAUGGACGAAAGUCUGACCGAGCAACGCCGCGUGAGUGAAGAAGGUUUUCGGAUCGUAAAACUCUGUUGUUAGAGAAGAACAAGGACGUUAGUAACUGAACGUCCCCUGACGGUAUCUAACCAGAAAGCCACGGCUAACUACGUGCCAGCAGCCGCGGUAAUACGUAGGUGGCAAGCGUUGUCCGGAUUUAUUGGGCGUAAAGCGAGCGCAGGCGGUUUCUUAAGUCUGAUGUGAAAGCCCCCGGCUUAACCGGGGAGGGUCAUUGGAAACUGGGAGACUUGAGUGCAGAAGAGGAGAGUGGAAUUCCAUGUGUAGCGGUGAAAUGCGUAGAUAUAUGGAGGAACACCAGUGGCGAAGGCGGCUCUCUGGUCUGUAACUGACGCUGAGGCUCGAAAGCGUGGGGAGCAAACAGGAUUAGAUACCCUGGUAGUCCACGCCGUAAACGAUGAGUGCUAAGUGUUGGAGGGUUUCCGCCCUUCAGUGCUGCAGCAAACGCAUUAAGCACUCCGCCUGGGGAGUACGACCGCAAGGUUGAAACUCAAAGGAAUUGACGGGGGCCCGCACAAGCGGUGGAGCAUGUGGUUUAAUUC